UACGUAGGGGACAAGCGUUGUCCGGAUUUAUUGGGCGUAAAGAGCGUGUAGGCGGCCAGACAGGUCCGUUGUGAAAACUCGAGGCUCAACCUCGAGAUGUCGAUGGAAACCGUCUGGCUAGAGUCCGGAAGAGGAGUGUGGAAUUCCUGGUUUAGCGGUGAAAUGCGCAGAUAUCAGGAAGAACACCUAUGGCGAAGGCAGCACUCUGGGACGGUACUGACGCUGAGACGCGAAAGCGUGGGGAGCGAACAGG
rnacentral:rRNA from 1 species